rnacentral:rRNA from 1 species
UACAGAGGUCCCAAGCGUUGUUCGGAUUCAUUGGGCGUAAAGCGUGCGUAGGCGGCUGCGCAAGUCGGGUGUGAAACCCCGGGGCUCAACCCCGGAACUGCAUCCGAUACUGCGUGGCUAGAGGUAGGUAGGGGAGAUCGGAAUUCCUGGUGUAGCGGUGAAAUGCGCAGAUAUCAGGAGGAACACCGGUGGCGAAGGCGGGUCUCUGGGCAGUAACUGACGCUGAGGAGCGAAAGCGUGGGGAGCGAACAGG